CCUACGGGAGGCUGCAGUGGGGGAUAUUGCACAAUGGGGGAAACCCUGAUGCAGCGACGCCGCGUGGGCGAAGAAGUAUUUCGGUAUGUAAAGCCCUAUCAGCAGGGAAGAAGAAAGGACGGUACCUGAGGAAGAAGCACCGGCUAAAUACGUGCCAGCAGCCGCGGUAAUACGCAGGGUGCAAGCGUUAUCCGGAUUUAGUGGGUGGAAAGGGAGUGCAGGCGGCACGGCAAGCCUGAUGUGAAAGCCCGCGGCCCAACCGCGGGACUGCCUUUGGAACCACCGGGCUGGAGUGCCGGAGAGGUUGGCCGAAUUCCUAGUGUAGCCGUGAAAUUCCUAGAUUUUAGGAGGAACACCAGUGGCGAAGGCGGCCUACUGGACGGUGACUGACGCUGAGGCUCGAAAGCGUGGGGAGCAAACAGGAUUAGAUACCCGGGUAGUC
rnacentral:rRNA from 1 species